rnacentral:rRNA from 1 species
GGCUCAGGAUGAACGCUAGCUACAGGCUUAACACAUGCAAGUCGGGGGGCAGCAUUUCAGUUUGCUUGCAAACUGGAGAUGGCGACCGGCGCACGGGUGAGUAACACGUAUCCAACCUGCCGAUAACUCGGGGAUAGCCUUUCGAAAGAAAGAUUAAUACCCGAUGGCAUAAUUAGACCGCAUGGUCUUAUUAUUAAAGAAUUUCGGUUAUCGAUGGGGAUGCGUUCCAUUAGGCAGUUGGUGAGGUAACGGCUCACCAAACCUUCGAUGGAUAGGGGUUCUGAGAGGAAGGUCCCCCACAUUGGAACUGAGACACGGUCCAAACUCCUACGGGAGGCAGCAGUGAGGAAUAUUGGUCAAUGGGCGCAGGCCUGAACCAGCCAAGUGGCGUGAAGGAUGACUGCCCUAUGGGUUGUAAACUUCUUUUAUAUGGGAAUAAAGUUUUCCACGUGUGGAAUUUUGUAUGUACCAUAUGAAUAAGGAUCGGCUAACUCCGUGCCAGCAGCCGCGGUAAUACGGAGGAUCCGAGCGUUAUCCGGAUUUAUUGGGUUUAAAGGGAGCGUAGGUGGACAGUUAAGUCAGUUGUGAAAGUUUGCGGCUCAACCGUAAAAUUGCAGUUGAUACUGGCUGUCUUGAGUACAGUAGAGGUGGGCGGAAUUCGUGGUGUAGCGGUGAAAUGCUUAGAUAUCACGAAGAACUCCGAUUGCGAAGGCAGCUCACUGGACUGCAACUGACACUGAUGCUCGAAAGUGUGGGUAUCAAACAGGAUUAGAUACCCUGGUAGUCCACACAGUAAACGAUGAAUACUCGCUGUUUGCGAUAUACAGUAAGCGGCCAAGCGAGAGCAUUAAGUAUUCCACCUGGGGAGUACGCCGGCAACGGUGAAACCCAAAGGAAUUGACGGGGGCCCGCACAAGCGGAGGAACAUGUGGUUUAAUUCGAUGAUACGCGAGGAACCUUACCCGGGCUUAAAUUGCAUUUGAAUAUAUUGGAAACAGUAUAGCCGUAAGGCAAAUGUGAAGGUGCUGCAUGGUUGUCGUCAGCUCGUGCCGUGAGGUGUCGGCUUAAGUGCCAUAGCGAGCGCAACCCUUAUCUUUAGUUACUAACAGGUCAUGCUGAGGACUCUAGAGAGACUGCCGUCGUAAGAUGUGAGGAAGGUGGGGAUGACGUCAAAUCAGCACGGCCCUUACGUCCGGGGCUACACACGUGUUACAAUGGGGGGUACAGAAGGCAGCUACCUGGUGACAGGAUGCUAAUCCCAAAAGCCUCUCUCAGUUCGGAUCGAAGUCUGCAACCCGACUUCGUGAAGCUGGAUUCGCUAGUAAUCGCGCAUCAGCCAUGGCGCGGUGAAUACGUUCCCGGGCCUUGUACACACCGCCCGUCAAGCCAUGAAAGCCGGGGGUACCUGAAGUACGUAACCGCAAGGAGCGUCCUAGGGUA